CAUUAGCAGCGAUGUUCUCAACGAUCCCAGAACCCAACCGUGGAAGGAACUGGCCGCGAGCGCGGGCCUGACGGCGAGUGCCGUGCUGCCUCUCCUUCGAGACGGCCAAGCGGACAAGACAUUNNNNNNNNNNAGAUCUGGAGCCGGCCUACCCCUAUUGAGAAAUGGAGAAGCGGUUGGCGUCCUGCUCUUCCUGUCGAGCGAAACGGAUGUGUUUACCCCAGAAUUUAUGAAGCU
rnacentral:misc_RNA from 1 species